AAGUUCGGGGAUGGUUGCCUGAGCACCAGAGGCAAAGCGAGCUGCACUGCGACGCCUCAGUGGCAUUUGUGCCCCCGUGCCUGGCCGGUUUCAGCAGGCAUGCACUGUAAGCGCCGGGCGGGGGAAAGGAUUUUUAUGCGUUACUCCAAAUAUCACAGGACAUUGGAGCUGGAAGGGACCUCUGGGGAUCGUCUCGUCCAGCACGCUGCUGCAGGAGAGGAUGGUGGGGGAUGCGGCAGAUGAGGACGGGCAGAUUAUGUGACAUGGUCAAGAUCACGCGAGCUGUCUGUGUCAGAGUGAGAAACUGCACCUGGAUCUCUCAGCGUGAGGCUGUUGCUCUUGGUACUGCUUCCUCCCGACUGCAAACAAUGCAUCCAAAUUGCCUUUGCCUGUGUUGUUUCGAUGCCUACAAACGGCAGUGCUGGUCUUCAACUGCUGAGCAGCGCUCUGGAAAAGGGCCCAAGUCUGUCCUUCAUGGUUCCUCUACUGGCUGCAGGUUAUCACUGGCUGUUGCAUUGAUGCCUAUGACCUGUAGAGGUGUUGUCCUUGGGGCAUUCCAAGGCCACUUGGACCCUUCAGCAAACGCCGACUCCAGCUGCCUGCCUACUCUGUAUUGGCUGAUAGUCGUGCCCAAGAAUACCUCGCUACAAAGCACCGCGGGUGUGCGCCGGGCUCUUGAUGGGGCUGUUGCGUCUUUGAUACCCCCACCUGCAUGUCGGGAGAGUGCUGCCAGGAAUGGGUAAGUGCGGACAAAGAGAGGCUUACACAGAGCGACGCUGCUGUCACACCCAAUAGAUGCCAAGUUGGAAGCGGUUGCAUUGGUGAGGGAGUGGGGGGCAUCGGGGGGCGCGGUGGAGCAGGGAGUGCUGUGUCCGAUUUGCCCAUCACAGCUGCCAGAUCGGUGUGUAUGGUGGGUGUGAUGGACAUUACUAUCUAUAAAUAAAUACCACAACAGCAUUUUAAUGAGGUGUUUUCUACCAGCACUUGUCCAGGCUGGUAGUGUUAUGUUAAGGCUGGAGAAGUAUCUCCAAGCAAGCUUCUUGACAAAACCUCCAUAAACACGGUCUCACCCAAGAUCUAACUAUGAUUUGUUUAGGUAAGAGGUUUUACUUGUUUGUUUCUGAAGACACUUGCAAAUCCGUUUGGGUUUUUACCUUUAUUUAUUUAUUUUUCCCCUCCUUGGCCCAGGUUUUGUGUUGGUGUCACAGAACCUGAUGUAGAGAUACUCUCAGGGAGUGUAGUGAUGGGAUGAGGGGUAACGGUUUUAAACUGAAAGAAAAGAGAUUUAGAUUAGACAUUAGGAAGAAAUUCUUCCCGAUGAGGGUGGGGAGGCCCUGGCCCAGGGUGCCCAGAGCAGUGGUGCUGCCCCAUCCCUGGAGGGGUUCCAGGCCAGGUUGGAUGGGGCUUGGAGCCCCUGAUCCAGCGGGAGGUGUCCCUGCCCAUGGCAGGGGGUGGAACUGGAUGGGCUUUGAGGUCCCUUCCAGCCCCAACCAUUCCAUGAUUCUAUGAGUCUAUGCUAAGUUCCCUCCACAAGAAUGCAUGAGAGCUGUACAUAUCCAAAACAAAGCCAAGAAAUGGUCUUUCUCAGACUAGCUCUGAGGAGUGUUUUGCAUAUUUGACCCCUGUGCAUUGAUGGCAGGACCUCUUUUCUCCUCAAUUUGAAGUUCUAGAAGAAAAAAAUCAGUUGUUUCAUUCUUAAACAUGUGAUCUCUGAAGUGAAGGCUCUUGACUGUUUGGAAUUGUGAUGCAUACUCAGAAUUCAUUCAUAUUAUAAAUAAAUAAUUGGCAGGUGAUGCUAUAGAGAUAACAGCUUCCAUUCCUUUUGAGAAAUCAUUAACUCCAGCCAGGCCUCCUUGAUCGACAGCUAUUAAAAAAAAAUACCCAAACCAACCCACAAAAUAAUAUUGGUUGGAAGGGGGAUCUGGAAGGCUGUACUCCAGCCUCCUCAAAGCAGGGCUAAUUUCAAUAUCAGCUCAGGUUGCUUAGGCUUUGUCCAUUACAGUUUUGACAUCUUCAGAGAUGAGAUUGUCCUCCAGCAUAAUGACCUGCAGGCUCCAUUCAGUGUCCCACACAAAUUUGCUGAGGAACCGUUCUGCUCUGUCAUCCACGUUGCUGGUGGACUGGCCCUAGCGUUGUCACUUGAGGAAUGCCAAAUGUUAGCACCAAUCAGAUGUCUAGUUGUUGACCAUUAUCAUCCUUUGAGCUUCAUGGCUCAGCUGUGAGCUUUUUUCAACCAGGUUGUGGUCCAUCCAUGCAGACAAUGCCUACCCAGUCUGGCCCAUAUGGGAGACAAUGUGAAAGACCGCACUAAAACCAAAGUCAUUGACGCCCACUGCGUCCCCUACCUUGGCCAUCCAGCCCAUCAUUCCAGCACAGGUGACAACCACCUUGGCCGGGUGCAAUUUAUCUGUAGUAGAUGCAAGCUGGCUGUUCCUGGCCACCUUCCUGUAUCUGAAUGUGGCUUCUCUGUAGACUCACUCCAUAAUAUUCCAAGGAAAAAUAUACAGCUAUCUUAUGUAAGACAUCUUUAUCUUUGCUAAUACUUUGUCCAGUCCCUUUCAGAAGUGGCCUGUUGAUUACGUGUGUUGAGUUUGUGAGAUUUUCAGCAUGUGCCAGCAGUGUUCAGUGAGGGAAUUUGGGUAGGGAGCGGCUGAGCAGGUCAAACUCGGAAGCAACCUAACCUGGACACACCUAUUUCUCCUCUGUUGGGAAUCCCUUUCUUCCCAGCCUUGCCACCAAGGACAGUCUUCCUGCCAUUACUGACAAGGCCUUUGUGUCACUUCAGGGCAUGAGCCCUGAGGGAGGGAGAUGGGAAAAGAGGAGGAAUGAGAUUACUGUGUUAAUGGACAGUAGAGUACAGGAGUAUUGGAUCCUGGCACCUGGCAAGGAUUCCGUUUGUUUGAGUUAAAGGAAAAAUUCAGGAAGAAGAAAGGGUAAGGUCAUCUGCAUAGAGUCCGAGGGACGGGCAUGGUGGUUUCCAGAGGGCGGCUUGAGGCUCGCUCCCGCAGCAGGGACCUGGCUGCAGCCGUGGCCUCUGCUCCCACGUGCCUGCGGCAUCCCCUGGUUUACUCCAUUCCUGUGGAAAACUAAACUCCUGGAACCACUGGCCUUGUGGGGGGCCUCGUGGGAUUCACAGCUGGAUGGGCUUGGCAGAGGAGACGUGUCCCCCAUGACUGGAACAGGACCGUGUAGUCACCACUGAGGCAGGCGCAGUGGUGGGAGGUAACGACUCGGAGAGAACACUCGUGUGUGCGGCGUUGGGCUUGACUGGUUAGUUAGAAGAAACACACAUAAUCCACAUAUCUUUUGCUGCACCCAUACUAACAUGAUAGCAUUUCUGUGAUGGACUUAGACUUGUAAUCUCCUCACCAGAACACUGGAAGACUUUGUUAAGUCAUGCACAGAAAAGCAAUUGGGAUGCGCGUGCAGUGACAAUGCUGCUGUGGAGCUGCAUACAUCCCUGAUGAAGGAGACACAUGGCAGGCUGAGGGCUUGUUGGAAAUGGGUUUUUACAUGGCUUUGAUUUAGGAUAUAUUAAUAGUUUGAGGUAGAUCACAAGAUAAAAUAUGUGAUUUUAAUAGCCCUUAAUCAUUAGCUGAUUUAAAAUGUGAUUCAGCAAGAUUUGCUAUAAUCAAAAGAGCGACUUGAUUAUAGAUUCAAAAAAUGGCAAAGCUAUACUUACUGCAAGGUUCAUUCAAAUCCCACAGGCUCGGAUAUAUGGAUAUCCAAAGAUAUGGAGGUUAACCUAUGGACAGAAUGUCCCUCCUGUCGACAUUAGAGAAAUACUCGCUUUAAAUAUGUUGGCAUUCUCAACAGGCAGCUGCUGAGUCGUGAGGAGCCCAACCGACUGCACCAGUUUGAAUUGCUUUGUUAAUUAAGCAUUAUUAGAAAUUAUACCUUUUUAAUAUUUUUUUAAGCUACCUCAAUAAAUUCUAAAUUGCCGCUAAGUCGAAGUCUCAUAAAAACCCCUCCGUGACAGGUUUCCUGGGUCCCAAGGUAAGUGCACGUACCUGCACGCUGCAGUCCCUCGUGCGUUCGUGAAACCUGACUUGCUGGGUCACCCUCCGGCCUCAUUCGCAGUGACACAACAUCAUUUAAAGCUGUUUGCUUAUUACAGAGAUACUAUCACAAGGCGUGGCGCCCUGAUUGGAGUCUAGCAGGAAAGUAACACUCUUAUUCACCCACCCACUCACCUCUGGGAGAUGGUCUGAGGGUCUCUCCUUGGCUUCAUGACGGAAAGUGGUUGAUUCACCUCCGCCCAACGGUAAUUACGUGUUGCUGCCCACUGGAAGUUCCCAGGUUGGCAUUCAAGAGGUAAGACCAGAACUCACUGCUGAGAUUAAUUGCAAAGUAAAAGCUUGAUUCCUUGUUGUCUGUUUUAUAUUCAGCCUAGUAAGAGUUACUUAAUAGACCGUAUCAUUUACUUGUGAUUUUUUUUUAAUGAUCAUUAAAAUGCUCCUAAUUGCUGUUACGCUGCCACGCUCCUACUUCUCCAUCGUUAUUUGAAUGCAACCUUCCCAUCAAGCUAGAAAGCGGUUCUGGUAAAGAACUUUUAUGGCAUAUUUAGUUUUUCAUCGGUCCCAUUUUUAAUUCUUUUAGUCUAGAUCCUCCUGUGUAAAAAAACCCAGCUUCUUGCAUGGAGCAAGCGCUAAACCCCAAGGUGCUCACCCAGCCCGUGGGCUUGCAUUUAUGGAUCAGAUGUAGUAUCCCAAUGAUCCUAUAAACGCAGCUAUGGAACAGGAGCUGCAAUCUAUUUAGCAGGGUCGGUUUUCGUGUAUGUCCUUGAGUGAGCUGGGAUCGGAGCAGGUGUAGGUCUGGGGCUGGCUGACAGGAGCUAGCAGAGACAGAGGUGUAGAAGGACAGUGUAACAAAGAAAGAGGUGUAGAAGGACAGAGUAACAUUUCCAAAGAGACGGUGUGCUUGCAUCUUCACUGUUCCUAGCUGGUGUACAAGAAUACUCCUGGUACGAUGAUACAUGGGGUCUGGACAAGGGAAUAAACUGUCUUUCAGUGCCUGGAUCAGUGGAGGGGAUAGAGCAGAAACAGCAGUACAGGAAGGGGAAGUCAAUUCACUCAAUAUUAUUUGUUGAUAUACCAGCUUCACCACCUUUCCAAGCUCUACAGUAUCAGUGCCAUCGAUACAGGCAUGUGACACGUCAACAAGUGGUGAGACUGCUGUCGAGGAGGCUUGCAGACAAGAUCUGCUUCUGUUUGAGACGGUACCCAGGCUGGUAUGUGGGUCUGGAAAAGGGAACUGGGGAGGUCACCGUGCUCUGCGGACCGGGAUCACCACCCAAGAGCUGCCCCAAGUGCCUUGCAGGUUACAUACGUGUUAACGAGCCUGGAGAGCUGAGGCCUGCGUCAGGCAGUGGGCUGGGCUUCACAGGGUUCUCUAAGAGCUUGUCACAGUCAGUGCUACUUCAAGCCUGUGGGAUGGGGGUACCCAAAUCCCUUUGGUAAUGUUAAAACCCCUGUCUUCCUCACUUCAGGUGCAACUGGAAGGAGCUGACCACCAGCAUUUCCAAUUGUCAGUGUCCAUGUGUUCUGCAGUCUCUGCCAUUAGAAACCCCAGGAUGGCAUCGCCUCUUGCCCUUGAAAGGAAGCACAGAGCCACUGUGCUUAAACCCGAUGAUGGGUGAAGCCAGAAAACAGGCUUUGGGAGCUCUGUGUUAGUCCAUGACUGCCUGCCUGCGCCUUGCCCUCAAGAGCCCAGUGCUGCGAGUAAGGUAACACUCAAAACAGCCAGUUUACGCGCCACUACCUGCGGGCAGCUUCUCCGGCUGGUGUGUGAAGGUCUGCCAGCUCAGGUCCAGGGCAGCUUCUCAGCUCAAACACGGCACGCUGCGGACACAGCUGGGCUGUUGCAGCAGCCAGCCUGGCUCCGGCCACCAGGAAAAGCUCCUGACCAAAGAGGAGUCAGUGGUGCAGCGGUAAAUAAAAGUGGGAAGAUUCAUCUCUCUGUGGUAUACACGGAGCAGGUAAGCACUAGAAGUGCCUGGAGUAGUAGUGGGUACAAAGGGAGUGCCCGGAGUGCCCUUUGCCUGCAUUUACCCCUUACUACACCGCUUGGAAGAGUUGCAUAAUUGAUACAAUUGAACCACAUCAGUCCUUUAUUUAUAGAACAUAAUGAAAUGGUUUUCAACAUCCUGGAUCAUGCUGCACGGGUGAUUGCUGUAUGUGCACCCAAGGAGAAUAAAUAAAAACAUUUCCCUCAGGGAUUGUGUCUCUUCACCUUCUGUAGCUGCAUCCAGGGCCUUCAGAGCAGUUCUGUAAGGAGUGCAGCAUGAACUCCUGCUCUGCUGUUCCCCACGCUUCCUUUGGAGGAGAGCUAUAGCGAUGCUGCUCCGUAGUGCUGGAGUUCCACAUGUCCCAUUGUCGCAGUUCGAUGGAGCUGAGGGGGUGCGCGUACCAAAACUCACCACAGACGACUGAGCACAGUCCCGUGCUGCACGUCGGUUGGUCCCUGUUAAAGCUCGUCACCUGCCUCUAAGAGAGAUCUGCCUUACCUAGAAAGCACGUGGGCUCCGGCUCAAAAAGAAGCAGAGGCUGUGGCGUUUGAUAGCUGCUUUCCAGGGAUGCAAAGGGCAGGGAUUCACGAGCAGUCCCCUGAGAAAGCCAAAUGACGUGGAUGGUCUGAGCCACCAGCUUGUGCCCGUCUCUCAUUCCCGAGCCUGGCCCUGCGACUGUGUCAUCCAAGGGAGACUCUGGUCUACAACAGAAGCACAAGCAUCGGGUGGCACUGAGAUGGGGUUACUGUAAAAGUUCUGUUAACAAAACAAAGCGCAGUUAUUAUUUUACCUUUUUCUUGUUGCUAUUAUUGGAAAAAUAUAGAUAAUUUAAAGUAUUUCUCUUGCUGGAUCAUCUGUCCGUGUUUAGAUGCUAUUCUACUGUUCCUAUUGCAUCACUUGAAUUUGGCCUUUACUUAUGGUCCUACAUUGUUUUUACUUUGUAAUUAGAACUACUAAUUGCAAGCUUGCUUACUGCCUUCAGUUGCCUUUUCCAGAGCAUUAUUUGCAAAAAGAUCACAAUUACUCAGUUCUUUUCAAUUGCUCAGUGAGCAUCUUCACAAAUUCACGUGAAACCAGGACUAGAUUUUUAAUUUACUCUAUUUCUAAGCUUUACACGGUGCUCAUCUGGUGCAUAGAAAUGAACUGCACUAAAAAAUGUAACUUUUCAGAAGCUGUGUAAGCUCUCUUCUCAAAAAUCCUCUUUUUCUGACUAAAAACCCCAAAUCAGAACACUGAAGGAGUCCCACACUAGCUGUUAUAUUAAAUUUUAAUUGGGGUUUUGCCAUGUAAAACUUGAGUAAAACACACUGCCAUAGUCUAGAUACCUUUUGAACCGAAAAAAAUCCAUAUAGGCUAAUGGUUCUGCAAGAAGGAGCUCAUCAUUUCCAUACACAUGCUGCAAACUUAGAGACAAUGCCCCCAUUUUAUCAUUUGUUAUUUCAACUUUGCUGAUGAUUCAGAGGUGUUAUUCCGCAGAAAAACUGGAAUAAGGCAGCCGUGAAUCAGGUUCACUGGCUCUGCAUCUCACUAUCUAAAAUGAGGAUCCACCUACACGUAAAAUACUAUCAUACUGCGAGUCUCUCACGAACUGCAAUCUGUUCUGGCUUGCCAGAUCCUCAUCAGAAAAGGAUUGCAUAGGCUCAAAAUUAAAGCACGUGCUGACUGCAUUUUAGUCAAUGGGAAUGCUCAUGUGAACAAGAUGAGCUGGUUUGGGCUUUUCUAAUUACAAAUCACUGAAAUCAAAAGUACCAGAGCACAGGGCUACUUUUUUUUUCGG